rnacentral:rRNA from 1 species
CAGUCGCCGCGGUAAAACGGAGGGGGCUAGCGUUGUUCGGAAUUACUGGGCGUAAAGCGUACGUAGGCGGCUUUGUAAGUUAGAGGUGAAAGCCUGGUGCUCAACACCAGAACUGCCUUUAAGACUGCAUCGCUUGAACGUCGGAGAGGUGAGUGGAAUUCCGAGUGUAGAGGUGAAAUUCGUAGAUAUUCGGAAGAACACCAGUGGCGAAGGCGGCUCACUGGACGACUGUUGACGCUGAGGUACGAAAGCGUGGGGAGCAAACAGGAUUAGAUACCCCAGUAGUCCCUGUCUCUUAUAC